AGAGCCCUAGAUAGAGAUAUUUUCUGGUUUUGUAAAAUAGAAGAAGAAGAAGAAGAAGAAGAGGAGCGAAUUUCAGGAACAACAAAAGGGGUUUUAGGGUUCGGUGGUACAGCAAAACCCACACCACACCACUCCAGGAUCUCGGGUUUUGAAUUAUUUCUUUAGGAAGAAGCUAUGGAAGAGGGCAAGCGUAAAUCUAGGAGAGAAGGGUCGGAGGAUACGAGGAAGAGCCACCGCGAGAAGGAGAGGAACGGAGAUAGACACAGGGAGAAGAGAGAACACCGCGAGUCGUCUCGUCGUUCUGAGAGAGAAAAGAGUUCUGAUUCUGACAUUAGCUAUGAUAAUAGAGAGAGGGAGAAGAGGGAUUCUACUAAGCACCACAAAGAGAGGGACAAGGAUAGGACGAGAAGUCGGGAUGAUGAUAGGGAGAGGAGUCGAGACAAGAAAAGGGAUCAUCGAGAGAGAGAAAAGGAGAAGCGGGCUAAGGAGAAAGAACGAGAAAGAGAGAAGGAGAGGGAGAGAAGGGACAAGGAUAGAGAAAGAGAAAGAGAGAAGAGAACACGCAGCACCGAGAGGGAAAAGCAGCGCCGGGAAGUUGAUAGUGAUGAUAGCAGUCAUGAUGUUAAAGACCACGAAAGGAAACGUCGAAGGAAAGAUGAUGGUGAUUACAAGGACAAGGAGAAAGAUAGAGUUAAGGAGAAGGAGAAAGAGAAAGAUAGAGAAAAUGAGAAGGAGAAAGAGCAUGAACGCAGUAGCAGUAGGCGCGAAGAGAGUCCGAAGAAGAGGAGUUCCGGGGAUGAUUCUGAUAAGCAAGAGCAAGCAACUCGUGAAGAGGAGUUGGAAAAUGAACAACUUAAAUUGGAUGAAGAAAUGGAGAAGAGAAGGAGGAGAGUUCAGGAGUGGCAGGAGUUAAAAAGAAAAAAGGAGGAAGCUGAAAGAGAGACACACGGGGAGGAAAUUGUUGAUGAACCUAAGUCUGGAAAGGCUUGGACCCUUGAGGGUGAAUCUGAAGAUGAUGAAGAACUUCCCUCUGCUGAGAAAGUACAGAUGGCUAUGGACAUUGAUGGCGGAGCUACCCAAACUAAUAAUCAAGUUGGGGAUGAAAUGGCAAUGGAUUCUGAAAAUGGGUCUACUCCUCCACCUUCGCAGAAUGGGGUUGAUGGGGCUUCUGGGGAUGAUGAAAUUGAUCCAUUAGAUGCUUUUAUGAAUUCCAUGGUUUUGCCAGAAGUUGAGAAACUCAGUAGUGUUUCGGACCCAUCAGUUCAUGGUAAUAAGAGUUCAGAGUUGAAGAGCAAGGAUAAAAAGGAUAAUCAAAGCAAUGGUGAGCAACGUAGGAAGGGUGGUUCAAAUAAGUCUAUGGGCAGAAUUAUUCCAGGGGAGGAUUCUGACUCAGAUUAUGGGGACCUUGAUGAUGAUGGGGAGCCUGCAGAGGAUGAAGAUGACGAUGAGUUCAUAAAAAGAGUUAAGAAGACCAAAGCUGAGAAACUUUCUCUAGUUGAUCAUUCAAAAAUUGAUUAUAAGCCAUUUAGAAAGAAUUUCUAUAUUGAAUCAAAAGAAAUCUCGAGGAUGACUUCAGAAGAUGUUGCCGCAUACCGUACUCUUCUAGAAUUGAAGAUCCAUGGUAAGUAUGUGCCAAAACCAGUUAAGACCUGGCACCAAACUGGACUUACGAGUAAAAUAUUGGAUACGAUUAAAAAACUUGGUUAUGAAAAGCCAAUGUCAAUUCAAGCUCAGGCACUGCCUAUAAUUAUGAGUGGUCGAGACUGUAUUGGCAUUGCGAAAACUGGGUCAGGUAAAACACUGGCAUUUGUGCUUCCAAUGCUGAGGCAUAUAAAGGACCAGCCUCCUGUGGUUGCAGGAGAUGGGCCUAUCGGGCUUUUAAUGGCGCCUACAAGGGAGCUUGUUCAGCAGAUUCACAGUGAUAUAGUAAAGUUCACCAAGGCACUAGGCCUUACAUGUGUGCCUGUAUAUGGAGGCUCUGGUGUUGCCCAACAAAUUAGUAAAUUGAAGCGGGGUGCUGAAAUUGUUGUUUGUACACCUGGAAGAAUGAUUGACAUACUUUGCACAAGUGGUGGGAAAAUUACAAAUCUUCGCAGGGUCACUUAUUUGGUCAUGGACGAAGCUGAUCGAAUGUUUGACAUGGGUUUUGAACCUCAAAUCACUCGAAUUGUACAAAAUAUUAGACCAGAUAGACAGACUGUACUUUUCUCUGCUACUUUCCCCCGUCAAGUGGAAAUCUUAGCACGUAAAGUGUUAACCAAACCUGUAGAGAUACAAGUGGGUGGAAGGAGUGUUGUUAAUAAGGACAUUGCGCAACUGGUUGAAGUGAGGCCUGAAAAUGAAAGGUUUUUAAGGUUAUUAGAGCUACUAGGUGAGUGGUAUGAGAAAGGGAAAAUUUUGAUUUUUGUCCAUUCUCAGGAAAAGUGUGAUGCUUUGUUCAGGGAUCUACUCAAACAUGGUUAUCCUUGCCUCUCUCUUCAUGGGGCUAAGGACCAAACAGAUCGUGAGUCAACCAUUUCUGACUUUAAAAGCAAUGUUUGUAAUCUGUUGAUUGCAACCAGUGUUGCUGCUAGAGGGUUGGAUGUGAAGGAGCUUGAACUGGUGAUCAACUUUGAUGUUCCAAAUCACUAUGAGGACUAUGUUCACCGUGUUGGUCGAACAGGCCGAGCUGGUCGUAAAGGUUGUGCCAUUACAUUUAUUUCUGAUGAAGAUUCUAAAUAUGCUCCUGAUCUUGUAAAAGCUUUGGAACUCUCUGAGCAAGUUGUUCCUGACGACCUGAAAGCUCUUGCUGAGGGUUUCAUGGCAAAAGUAAAUCAGGGACUGGAACAAGCACAUGGAACUGGCUAUGGAGGAAGUGGUUUUAAGUUUAAUGAAGAAGAAGAUGAAGUGAGGAAAGCAGCUAAGAAAGCACAGGCCAAAGAAUAUGGUUUCGAAGAAGACAAGUCAGAUUCUGAGGACGAAGAUGAAGGUGUCCGCAAGGCAGGAGGCGACAUUUCACAACAGACUGCACUUGCUAAAAUAUCAGCUCUCGCUGCAGCCUCUAAAGCUGCUACCCAUUCAAUGCCUACCCCUGUUAAUGCUGGUCAACUUCUUCCAAAUAUUGGACUACCUGUUUCUGUGCCAGGUGUAAUUGGUCUGUCUUUACCUGGAACAGCAGCAGCGGUGCCUGGACCUGGGUUGCCUGUUGUCGUCAAUGAUGGUGCAGCACGGGCAGCCGCAAUAGCUGCUGCAAUGAACUUGCAGCAUAACCUGGCAAAGAUUCAAGCUGAUGCAAUGCCUGAACAUUAUGAAGCAGAGCUGGAGAUAAAUGAUUUCCCUCAGAAUGCUCGAUGGAAGGUCACACAUAAGGAAACAUUGGGACCUAUAUCGGAGUGGACUGGAGCUGCCAUUACUACUAGGGGGCAGUUCUUCCCACCCGGUAAAGUGGCAGGACCGGGAGAACGCAAAUUGUACUUGUUCAUUGAAGGUCCUACGGAACAAUCUGUUAAAAGGGCUAAAGCUGAAUUGAAACGUGUGCUGGAAGACAUUUCAAAUCAGGCCUUAUCACUUCCGGGUGGAACUCAGCCUGGAAAAUAUUCAGUUUUUUAAAACGUAAGAGACUGAUCCCUUUUUUCUAUAUUUUCUAAUAUUUGCAAAUGUUGGCCUUUGUAUCCAAGUUAUGUUUUUUUUUGGGGUUGGGGGCGCAGUAUCUAACAAUUUAGUUACCCAAGAAGGGUACCUCAAAUGGUCAGGGCAUGUGGUUUGCUCCCCUCCUCGAUAACAUAGAAAUUGUUAUAGUUUCCUAGUUACCAAAUAUUGUAGUUUUAGGCAGGGAUCCAAGUUUCAAAAACAAAAAAAAAAAAGAAAAAAAGAAAACUAUCUAACAAUUUAGUACUUAUUUUAUCACUUCAGGCUUGAGGUAGCUUCAGAAAGAAAUGAAAUGUUCAAGUUCUGUUUACCAACCUUGUAGAUAGUAAAUUUUUUCUGUUGUUUCUUUCUGGUGAAGCAGUGGCUAUGCCAUCACUUUUGUACAGAUUCUUGCUCGACCUCACUUAAAUGAUAAAAGACUGUUGUCCUUGUCUCUCUUUCUCUCUUUUUCGUUAUUUUUGAUUUUCUGUGUUUCUUUCUUCUGUGUAUUGUUUCCACUUACCAAUGGCGCGAGGGAUGUUUUAAGCAUCGCAUGUUACAAUUUUGUCUCUGCCCAUCAUUAUUGCUAAUGCCGUCUCUCCAGGGAUGCAAUCAUGGUUUUGAAAUUGCAGGAGCAAACAGUAAUUUAGAUCCCAAGUCUGAGUAAAAGGAGUGUAUUACUAAUUGAACAUGAUGAUACUAGUAAAAAGGGGUUAUACUAUCCUGGAUUUCUGCAUACAUGGACUGCCUAAAGGUGACCCCGAAUUUGAAACUGAUGUAGUGCCUGCUUGGUAUUUGGUGCCAUUGUGCUAUAUUUGAGAAAGUACAGCUGAGCCAUUUCACUAAAGAUUUUCAUGUUUUCCUGUUAGGAAUUCCUUUUUUGUGGUGGCUGAUGGCAUUGUGCUAUAUUAUUAUUGUUAUUGUUAUUGUUAUUGUUAUUGUUAUUGUUAUGUUUAUCUAAAUGAUUGUCUUGCUAUAUGAAUGAACAGAACAAUUUUAAACCAGAAACCGUGGAUCCUCCUACUGUGUUAGUUAAUAGUUUGUGCUGUGUUAACAAAUUCUUAAAUUUUCAGCUGAUGAUGCAGCAUCGCCGUAACCAUAAAAGGCAGGGGGAGCCAAGCCGAGCCGUCCAUCCCCUUAAAUUUAAGUUUGUGAGAAGGAAAUCUCAGGGGAGGUUUCAGGCUCAGGAAAGAAAAACAAAUGAGAAUCGUGUACGUUUCUGAGUUACAAUCUGGCGGGGCACUUGGCUCAUUCAUGCAUUGUGAUUGGAGGGGUCGGUGGGACUGACUACUCAUUCAAAUCAAAUGUUUGAUUGUUUUAUAUUUUUACCUUAUAAAAGUGCAAGUGUAUGCAAUUCUAUAUUAAAACAUUUUCUACUUGAUAAUCAAGCGAGGAAGAGAAGUAUAAUUUGGCUAGAAGCAUA